rnacentral:rRNA from 1 species
GAUGAACGCUGGCGGCGUGCCUAAUACAUGCAAGUCGAGCGAACAGACGAGGAGCUUGCUCCUCUGACGUUAGCGGCGGACGGGUGAGUAACACGUGGAUAACCUACCUAUAAGACUGGGAUAACUUCGGGAAACCGGAGCUAAUACCGGAUAAUAUAUUGAACCGCAUGGUUCAAUAGUGAAAGACGGUUUUGCUGUCACUUCUAGAUGGAUCCGCGCCGCAUUAGCUAGUUGGUAAGGUAACGGCUUACCAAGGCAACGAUGCGUAGCCGACCUGAGAGGGUGAUCGGCCACACUGGAACUGAGACACGGUCCAGACUCCUACGGGAGGCAGCAGUAGGGAAUCUGCCGCAAUGGGCGAAAGCUUGACGGAGAAACGCCGCGUGAGUGAUGAAGGUCUUCGGAUCGUAAAACUCUGUUAUUAGGGAAGAACAAAUGUGUAAGUAACUAUGCACGUCUUGAAGGUACCUAAUCAGAAAGCCACGGCUAACUACGUG